GCUUGAGUGGCAGAGUUCGGUAAUAGCAA
rnacentral:tRNA from 1 species